rnacentral:rRNA from 1 species
AACGCGAAGAACCUUACCUGGGCUUGACAUGUGAGUGACAGGUGUGGAAACACACCCUCCCUUCGGGGCACUUUCACAGGUGGUGCAUGGCUGUCGUCAGCUCGUGUCGUGAGAUGUUGGGUUAAGUCCCGCAACGAGCGCAACCCCCGUCGCAUGUUGCCAGCAUUCAGUUGGGGACUCAUGUGAGACUGCCGGUGACAAACCGGAGGAAGGUGGGGAUGACGUCAAGUCAUCAUGCCCCUUAUGUCCAGGGCUACACACGUGCUACAUUGGCGCGUACAGAGGGCUGCGAUACCGCGAGGUGGAGCGAAUCCCUUAAAGCGCGUCUCGGUUCGGAUUGCAGGCUGAAACUCGCCUGCAUGAAGGCGGAGUUGCUAGUAAUCGCGGAUCAGCAUUGCCGCGGUGAAUACGUUCCCGGGCCUUGUA